rnacentral:sRNA from 1 species
CAGAUGACUCGCGAACACUGUUAAUCGA